CGCCUGUUUAUCAAAAACAUCUUUUCUUGUUAGUUUUUGAAGUAUGGCCUGCCCGCUGAUUUUAGGUUGAAGGGCCGCGGUAUUUUGACCGUGCAAAGGUAGCAUAAUCAUUAGUUCUUUAAUUGUGAUCUGGUAUGAAUGGCUUGACGAGGCAUGGGCUGUCUUGGAUUGGGAUUGUUUAUUGAAUUUGGUUUUUGAGUUAGAAUUCUUAAAUGUUUUUAUGGGACGAGAAGACCCUAUAGAGUUUAACAUUUAUUUAUAUAGCUUGUUUUGGUUUGUUUUAUAGUUGCUUUGUGUUAAUGUUUUGUUGGGGUGAUGGGAAGAAUUUUCUUAACUCUUCUUUAUUUUGGUAUAUUGAUUUAUAUUGGUUUUGAUCCAUUUAUUUUGAUUAUAAGAUUAAAUUACCUUAGGGAUAACAGCGUAAA
rnacentral:rRNA from 1 species